rnacentral:rRNA from 1 species
ACAUGAAGCCGGAAUCGCUGUAAUCGCGGAUCAGAAUGCCGCGGUGAAUACGUUCCCGGGUCUUGUACACACCGCCCGUCACACCAUGGGAGUCGGAAAUGCCCGAAGUCUGUGACCCAACCGCAAGGAGGGAGCAGCCGAAGGCAGGUCGGAUGACUGGGGUGAAGUCGUAACAAGGUAUC